AUUGAACGCUGGCGGCAGGCCUAACACAUGCAAGUCGAGCGAGCGGCGGACGGGAGAGUAAUGUAUGGGGAUCUGCCUGAUGGAGGGGGAUAACUACUGGAGACGGUAGCUAAUACCGCAUACCAUCAGAUGAACCCAUAUGGGAUUGGCUAGUAGGUGAGGUAACGGCUGACCUAGGCGACGAUCCCUAGCUGGUCUGAGAGGAUGAUCGGCCAAACUGGGACUGAGACACGGCCCGGACUCCUACGGGAGGCAGCAGUGGCGAAUAUUGGACAAUUGGCGCAAGCCGGAUGCAGCCAUGCCGCGUAUAUGAAGAAGGCCUUCGGGUUGUAAAGUACUUUCAGUCGGGAUGCGGUUCCGACAGAAGAAGCACCGGCUAACUCCGUGCCAGCAGCCGCGGUAAUAC
rnacentral:rRNA from 1 species